AUGACGAUAGAAGCUGAUACACGGAGCUAGUUUUUGGAGUAAAUGCGAUGGCAGUAACAGCUCCAGCGUGACCACGCAAUACUGAAAUAGGUAAUCCGUCUGGCAAGCGCCAAACUCGAAUGCUGUAGUCAUUUGAUGCAGAUGCCACCAAAGCAUUGUUUGAACUGACAGCUAAAUCAGUGAUGUCACCUUCAUGUCCUCGGCAACUAGCCAGGCAUAAUCCAGUUUCCAUUGACCAAACCUUGACGAGGCGAUCAUCGGAACCAGUAAUCACAUAUCUUCCUGAGCGAUCAAAUAUUGCACAAUAAACAGCAUCGUGCUCCAUCUAUCCGUCUUGCAAGUUAUGCUGUUGCAAAGCCGUCAACUAUGGUCCAAA
rnacentral:misc_RNA from 1 species